GAAGUGAGAGAGGAAAGGGAUUUCAUCAAGAUGAAACUGUGUAUACACUGUUUCCAAGACUAUGAAACCUAUUGAAACUUGCAUUGGGGGCUAUAGAGUUUCAUUUCAUCUAACCAUAUCCAAUCACAUGCCUCACAAUUAAAUGUCAUGGGCAUCCUAUGAAAUCGUGAAAUGAAACUGUGCACUGGGACUCCUUGUUUCAUUCAUGAGAAUACACCUCAUGGGAUGAUGUGGCAUCCUUGGAAGCAGUGCAAUGAAACCUUGCACUGGGACUAGCCUAAAUUAUUUUAGCUUAUAAGCAAAAAAAAAAAAGGGGUCUCGGAUCAAGA
rnacentral:lncRNA from 1 species